AAGAAUAAAAGAAGCUGAAGAGAGUUUCCGACAGAAAAAGGAAAAAUCACCCUAUUCAGUGAAACCAAAACAUGAUGCUGGAAUAAAAGCGAAGCUUAGUUUGAAAAUCUGACACUUGAAUGGUCCACGAGAAAUUGCCACAACGCUUCCAGAUCUCUCUGCCUCUACUGCCGCUCUAGAAUGUUCUCCAUGAUUUUAAUUCUGCAACAGAACAUUAAAAUAUUGUCAUGGUCAAAAUUAUAGUUCUUUGUGGCGCCAUGUGCAUAUAUAGUAUGGAUGGCGGUCUUGAACGUCUGACUUUUAAAUUAUACUUUGCACACAUAUGGAAAUCCGACUAGUUCUACUUCUUCACAACUGAAAUUGUAAUCUCUGUGUUUGUUUGAUAAUACACAGUUGUAUCACAAGUAAAAAUAAGUCAAGUAAGUUCAUAACUGGAAAAAUGUUGCCUUGGCAAUUAACAAUGUUUUAUAUUGCUGUGGACUUAAGCUUCUAAUCAGUAGUUAAACUGUGCUGCAGAGGAUGAAUUGGUGUGACAUUGGUGAAAGGGGUCUACCUAAACAACUUUGGAAAUUAAUGGAGGAUUACAGAGAAGAAAAUCACAACAGCAGGACUCUUACUUGCUGCUAGUUCCAGAAUUUGCCUGUCAUCUGGAGCCCAAAUGGUAGUGCAGAAUUUUCAUGACACAGUUUACUCUGAUAAUGUAUGUCUGAAUUGCCAACAUGUUAUUUUUUGCUUUGACAGAACACUGUGGUGUAGCGGAGUCAGUUUCAAUGUGAAGUGUCUGUUUUCUGAGUCCUGUACAGUAUGUAUGCAGAUUUCUGUAAAACUGCACUUCUUGCCAGUAUCAUACAGUUACAGUCUUUUGUUUGAAAGCUUGAUUAUAUCUAUGUUGCAAGUUAAUGGAAACAAAAAUUGAAACCUAGUGUAUGAUGCCAUAGAAUAACCACUUUGUUUAGUUAGAGUGUAUGCAAGUUUCAUGCAGUGUAACAGAGAAUACUUUAAGAACUAAUGCUCACGUCACGUACUUAACGAACAUUAGUUAAUUGUAUACGUACUGUUAUGUCUGUAGCUCUUCAAUACUCAGUUCAUGGCAGUAUGCAACUGGUCAUUGGGUUCUUUUUGUUUAUGUACAUUUCUAAGCUUCAUUCUCUCACCUGUCAGUGCUGGAGGAGAAAGUAGAACGCACCAUUAUAUUUCCAGAGAUUUAGAUGAGGAUUAUACUAAUUUUAUUGAAAGUAAGUGUUAAUAACAGAAGGAAUGAGCGGAAAUAAACACUGUGAGAUUAAUGAAAGUCUCUCCAAGGUCAUUAUUUUUAUAUUAUUUUUGUUCUCUUAGAUCAAAACUCUUGGGAUAAUCCCAUGUUAAAACAAUAUUAAGCAUAGUUUUGUCUUUUUACAUAUUGAUUUCCUGUAACUAUGUUAUUUGCUUUUAUCCUUUCUGUUUUGUUAAAAUCUGGCAUACUAUCCAUAAAUAUUCAGGCAUGCAUAGCAUAUUUUAGAAACUGUGCACAGGAGGAUUCUCCAAAAGAGGAUUUGGCUGAAGCGUGGAAUGCACCCUUUUAAAUACGAGUGGGCGAUGGGAUAAGCUGUAAAAGAAAAAUGUAUCCCAAGCACAUGCACUGCACCGUUUUUCAUACAAAACUGCAGUGGGAUUAUGUUUAAAUUUACUCACUCAGCGGUAUACUAACCCAGUGUUCACAUCUAAGUGAAAGCAAGACAAAAAGAAAAACAUGAAAGCAAAUGGUCUUUCAGUUAUGUGACUUUGUCAGCUGAAAUAAACAUAUAUUUUAUUAGUUAUCUGUUUAUAUAUGUAUAUUAUUUGUAUUUAUGUAAACUAGUCUUAAUUGCUUUUAAUUGAAGAACUGCACUGUCCUGAGAUUUUGGUGGAGGGCUUAGGCAGUUCCGUGUAAAGAAAGAUAUCAUUUAUUUUUCACGUCAGUGUAAAAUAGCAUGUUAGCUUUGUUUUGUAACCUUCCCAUAACCUACAGUAAUGUAAAAUAAUGUAUCACAGAGAAGUACUGGUGUGUUAAAAAAAUCCUUCUGUGCAAUAUUGUAUUUAGUGUUUCUAUUUACACUUUUUUCCAGAAUGUUAAUUUUAAUUAUAAUAAAAUGAAUUAAUGCAACA